GCUCCAGCCCAUAUGGAAGCACAUAUAAAACUGGAACAAUAUAGAAAAGGUUAGCACGGUCCCUGCACAAGGAUGACAUGCAAAUGACUAUGGGCACGCUGCUUAAUA